CUGAGGUCCCUAGUUCCUGGCCUUGCCUUGCAGGGGGCCCACGAAAUGGCCACAUGAAUGGAGACGAGUGUUCGAAGGUCGUGGGGCCGCUGGAAGAUGGAUCUCAGGCUAGGAUGAGCAAAACUGUACAAUACCAUACAGCCCUCUGCCAGCAGAUCCGUUACUAAAGGAAUUCAUGCAUCUUGCAUCUUGAAGAUGCAUUAUUAAUGCCUGGACAAAUCACAUCAGGUGAAACCCAGCAAGUCCCUGGCACUGAAAAAAAGGAACAAAGGCUGGCUCUACAAGAGAGCGAUGGAUGAGACAAAUUAUAACAGCUGGGAGUUUCUUAUUUCAGGAAUCACAGACAAGACUGUGCCUAAGUGGAGACAGGUAAAUAAAGCUUCC
rnacentral:lncRNA from 1 species